GGCACCAUAGCUCAGUGGUAGAGGACCUGCCUUGAAUGCAGAAGGUCCAAGGUUCAAUCCCUUGUGUCUCCCA